AUUAUUAGCCAUGCAGAAUAAUUAGGAUCCACGCAAAUUUCACAUAAACUAAAAUGUUGAAGGAUCAAUAUGUAUUAAUGCUCCCUAACCUUAGACAUGUCAAAUAAUUAAUAACACCAGAAGUACAUGACAAACAAUAACCUUGGACACACCAAAAAUACAUGACAAACAAUAAGCUUGGAAUUGAUAUCAGAAAAAAGCAAGAAUAAAUCAAAUGAGUCAAUCAUUACAAAUAAAAUGGACAUACACAAAAUCAUUUACAAGUCUCAUGUGUAUCACAACAUAAAAUUAGACUUCAACCCAUUAAUAGCUAAACUACAAAUUGCAACCAAAAACACUUUCCACCUCAAGACAUCACGAAUAGGUGCACAAAUCAACAACAAAGGAAGCAUUUCAUUAAAAAAAAAUGGAAACCCAACAUCAUUAUGUGAGGAAUUAUCUCAUAUUUUAACCCAAGAG
rnacentral:lncRNA from 1 species